rnacentral:rRNA from 1 species
AUUGAACACUGGCGGCAGGCCUAACACAUGCAAGUCGAGCGGAUGCAGGGAGCUUGCUCCUGGAUUCAGCGGCGGACGGGUGAGUAAUGCCUAGGAAUCUGCCUGGUCGUGGGGGAUAACGUCCGGAAACGGGCGCUAAUACCGCAUACGUCCUGAGGGAGAAAGUGGGGGAUCUUCGGACCUCACGCUAUCAGAUGAGCCUAGGUCGGAUUAGCUAGUUGGUGGGGUAAAGGCCUACCAAGGCGACGAUCCGUAACUGGUCUGAGAGGAUGAUCAGUCACACUGGAACUGAGACACGGUCCAGACUCCUACGGGAGGCAGCAGUGGGGAAUAUUGGACAAUGGGCGAAAGCCUGAUCCAGCCAUGCCGCGUGUGUGAAGAAGGUCUUCGGAUUGUAAAGCACUUUAAGUUGGGAGGAAGGGCAGUAAGUUAAUACCUUGCUGUUUUGACGUUACCAACAGAAUAAGCACCGGCUAACUUCGUG